GACAGAGGUGCCGAGCGUUAGGCGGAAUCACUGGGCUUAAAGCGUGUGUAGGCGGGCGAUCAAGUACCUUGUGAAAUCCCACGGCUCAACCGUGGAACCGCUGGGUAUACUGGUUGUCUUGAGCCGGCUAGGGGCGAGCGGAACAGACGGUGGAGCGGUGAAAUGCGUAGAGAUCGAAAAGAACACCAACGGCGAAAGCACUCUGCUGGGCCGACACUGACACUGAGAGACGAAAGCUAGGGGAGCGAAUGGG
rnacentral:rRNA from 1 species